UACAGAGGUCCCAAGCGUUGUUCGGAUUCAUUGGGCGUAAAGGGUGCGUGGGCGGCGCGGUAAGUCGGGUGUGAAAUCUUGGAGCUUAACUCCGAAACUGCAUUCGAUACUGCCGUGCUUGAGGACUGGAGAGGAGACUGGAAUUUACGGUGUAGCGGUGAAAUGCGUAGAUAUCGUAAGGAAGACCAGUGGCGAAGGCGGGUCUCUGGACAGUUCCUGACGCUGAGGCACGAAGGUCAGGGGAGCAAACGGG
rnacentral:rRNA from 1 species